rnacentral:rRNA from 1 species
UACGUAGGGUGCGAGCGUUGUCCGGAAUUACUGGGCGUAAAGAGCUCGUAGGUGGUUUGUCGCGUUGUCCGUGAAAAACUCACAACUCAAUUGUGGGCGUGCGGGCGAUACGGGCAGACUGGAGUACUGCAGGGGAGACUGGAAUUCCUGGUGUAGCGGUGGAAUGCGCAGAUAUCAGGAGGAACACCGGUGGCGAAGGCGGGUCUCUGGGCAUUAACUGACGCUGAGGAGCGAAAGCAUGGGGAGCGAACAGG